rnacentral:rRNA from 1 species
CACUUUUAAUUAUAUUUUAUAUACCGCCGUCUUGAAUAAAUCAAAAAAUUUUAUUCAAAAUAAAAUUCUAAAAAUUUAGGUAAAGGUGUAAACUAUUUAAAAGAUAAAAUGUAUUACAUUAAAUNAAAAUUUAAGGAUUAAAUUAAAANAUAAUUUCACGAAAAAGGAUUUAUAAGUAUUAUUUAAUUAAUAUUAAAAUUUG